ensembl:snoRNA LOC120100291 small nucleolar RNA SNORD115
GGGUUAAUGAUGACACCAAUGACAUAAAGAUUAGUAAUGUCAUAACAAUCAUGGUCAAAAGCAUUACAGUGUAGCCC